rnacentral:rRNA from 1 species
GACAGAGGGUGCAAACGUUGUUCGGAAUUACUGGGCGUAAAGCGCGUGUAGGCUGCUUCGCAAGUCGGAUGUGAAAGCCCUGGGCUCAACCUAGGAAGUGCACUCGAAACUGCGAAGCUUGAGUCCUGGAGAGGAAGGCGGAAUUCUCGGUGUAGAGGUGAAAUUCGUAGAUAUCGAGAGGAACACCGGUGGCGAAGGCGGCCUUCUGGACAGUGACUGACGCUGAGACGCGAAAGCGUGGGGAUCAAACAGG